rnacentral:rRNA from 1 species
ACGAAGGGGGCUAGCGUUGUUCGGAAUUACUGGGCGUAAAGGGCGCGUAGGCGGCCCUGUCAGUCAAGCGUGAAAGCCCCGGGCUCAACCUGGGAAUUGCGCCUGAUACUGCAGGGCUUGAGGGUCGGAGAGGAUGGUGGAAUUCCCAGUGUAGAGGUGAAAUUCGUAGAUAUUGGGAAGAACACCGGUGGCGAAGGCGGCCAUCUGGACGACAUCUGACGCUGAGGCGCGAAAGCGUGGGGAGCAAACAG